rnacentral:rRNA from 1 species
UACGAAGGGGGCUAGCGUUGUUCGGAAUUACUGGGCGUAAAGCGUGCGCAGGCGGCCUUCCAAGUCAGGGGUGAAAGCCCAGAGCUCACUCUGGAAUUGCCUUUGAGUACUAGUGAGGCUUGGAGUACGGGAGAGGUGAGUGGAAUUCCCAGUGUAGAGGUGAAAUUCGUAGAUAUUGGGAAGAACACCGGUGGCGAAGGCGGCUACACUGGCCCGAAACUGACGCUCAUGCACGACAGCGUGGGGAUCAAACAGG